GGUUGAUCCCGCCGGACCCCACUGCUAUCGGGAUGGGGCUAAGACAUGCUAGUCGAGCGUCUCCAAGCCAUGGUGGAGGCGCGGCACACAGCUCAGUAACAUGUGGCUAACCUGUCCUUGGGACAGGGACAACCCCGGGAAACUGGGGCUAAUCCCUGAUAGGUGAGAACUCCUGGAAUGGAUUCUCGCUCAAAGGGCGUCUAGGCCUCUUUUCUACGCGUUGCCCAAGGAGAAGGCCGCGGCCGAUCAGGUUGUUGGUGAGGUAAUGGCUCAACAAGCCUUUAACCGGUACGGGCCGUGAGACCGGUCAUCCGCACAUGGGGAAUGAGAAAAGGG
rnacentral:rRNA from 1 species